rnacentral:misc_RNA from 1 species
UCCGGUUUGUCACCGGCAGUCUCAUUAGAGUGCCCAACCAAAUGUAGCAACUAAUGACAAGGGUUGCGCUCGUUGCGGGACUUAACCCAACAUCUCACGACACGAGCUGACGACAGCCAUGCAGCACCUGUGUUCCCGUUCCCUUUCGGGCACAGCGAGAUCUCUCCCGCCUCCGGGACAUGUCAAGGGUAGGUAAGGUUUUUCGCGUUGCAUCGAAUUAAUCCACAUAAUCCACCGCUUGUGCGGGUCCCCGUCAAUUCCUUUGAGUUUUAGCCUUGCGGCCGUACUCCCCAGGCGGGGCGCUUAAUGCGUUAGCUACGGCACGGAUCCCGUGGAAGGAAACCCACACCUAGCGCCCACCGUUUACGGCGUGGACUAC